UGGCGGCGUGCCUAACACAUGCAAGUCGAACGGAGAUGUAAUUUCGGUUAUAUCUUAGUGGCGAACGGGUGAGUAACGCGUGAGCAACCUGACUCUUAGAGGGGGAUAACACUCGGAAACGGGUGCUAAUACCGCAUAAGACCACGACAUGGCAUCAUGACGAGGUCAAAGGAGCAAUCCGCUGAGAGAGGGGCUCGCGUCCCAUUAGAUAGAUGGCGGGGUAACGGCCCACCAUGUCAACGAUGGGUAGCCGAGCUGAGAGGCUGAUCGGCCACACUGGAACUGAGACACGGUCCAGACUCCUACGGGAGGCAGCAGUGGGGAAUAUUGGGCAAUGGGCGCAAGCCUGACCCAGCAACGCCGCGUGAGGGAAGAAGGCUUUCGGGUUGUAAACCUCUGUCCUUGGUGACGAAAAAAAUGACGGUAGCCAAGGAGGAAGCCCCGGCUAACUACGUGCCAGCAGCCGCGGUAAUACGUAGGGGGCGAGCGUUGUCCGGAAUUACUGGGCGUAAAGGGUGCGUAGGUGGCCUUUUAAGUUGG
rnacentral:rRNA from 1 species